GAGAAAAGGGGGACUGAGAGACAGAAUGAGAAACGUAAUGAAAGCAACUGAAUGGCAGAGGGAGAAUGAGAGAAAAUGACAGAGUGAGGAUAACAAGAGAAGAAGAACGGGGUGUCUGUGGUGGCAGUAACGUGGCCAGAAAGGCAGCAAUGCGUCAACAAAGGCAAGGAAGAAGAAGGAUGCAAGCUAAGGACAUAAGUGUAAACAAUGCAGAUUUCAAACUUUUGAGAAAAAUCAGCUUUGCAAAUCUUUUAUGAGGAAGGAGAUGCAUUGCACACAUAUGUUAGACCUCAUGGAUGCACACGCUGAGUUUUGUACCACAGGAUUGCCGAUAUGCUGCCAAGAACCAACUGCUGCUUCUCACACACAGAGAGAGAGCCAUUUGACCUGAGGACUGCCUCUUGUAGAUCAUACUCUUCCUAGCCUGUUGCUCUUCAAAGACCUGUUUUGUUAUGAUAUCUUAUAAAGCACCAAAUAAUUCCUCUUUCAUGGGCCUGAAUGUAUGUAUGAAUGUUAAAAUGGACAAUAUUGCAAAAUCUUACCUUACAAUAAGCAGUCUGAUGGAAUACAAAUAAUAGAGUAUAACAAUUAAUCCCUGUUCUGUGUAUGAAUGUGUGUUAUCCAGACAAACAACAGCAUCAGUCAUUUGCUAACGUUUUCCUAACAAGGACCUCUUGCGACUUAAAUAUUAUAAAGCGUAUGGUCUAGACCUGCUCUAUAUGACAAAGUGCCCUGAGAUAACAUCUGUAAUGAUUUUGCGCUGUAUAAAUAAAUAAAAAAAAUCUAAUUGUGGUUGUGUGAAUAAUGACUGCUGUCUCUGAGAGGCAAAGGUGAAAGCACUGCAAAACCUCACAUGAGAUCAUGGUGGAUGGUAGG